GUGUCAGCAGCCGCGGUAAAACGUAGGUGGCAAGCGUUAUCCGGAUUUACUGGGCGUAAAGCGUGUGCAGGCGGGUGGACAAGUGGUGUAUGAAAUCGCCAGGCUAAACCUGGCGGGGUUAUGCCAGACUGUCCGUCUGGAGUGCGAGAGAGGGGCGUGGAAUUCCGGGUGUAGUGGUGAAAUGCGUAGAGAUCCGGAGGAACCCCAGAGGCGAAGGCGGCGCCCUGGCUCGCAACUGACGCUCAGACACGACAGCAUGGGGAGCGAACGGGAUUAGAUACCCUCGUAGUCC
rnacentral:rRNA from 1 species